rnacentral:sRNA from 1 species
GCCUAGCCCCGAUGGAAACGGCAUCCUUUUAUGGCGGGGUUUGCCAUAAAAGAUAUAGUGAACAGCGGGAGAAAUG